rnacentral:rRNA from 1 species
AUUGAACGCUGGCGGCGUGCCUAAUACAUGCAAGUCGAACGCAGUGGGGACGGGUGAGUAACACGUGGGUAACCUCCCAUCAGAGGGGAUAACACUUGGAAACAGGUGCUAAACCGAUACUGAUGGAUGGACCCGCGGUGCAUUAGCUAGUUGGUGAGGUAACGGCUCACCAAGGCCACGGUGCAUAGGCGACCUGGGAGGGUGGUCGGACAAACAUGGAAUGGGGCACGGCCCAGACUCCUACGGGGGGCAGCAGUAGGGAAUCUUCGGCAAUUGGCGGAAGGCUUACCGAGCAAAGCCGCGUGAGGGAAGGAGGUUUUCGGGUCGUAAAGCUCUGUUGUUAGAGAAGCGGUAACUAACCAGAAAGGGACGGCUAACUACGUGCCAGCAGCCGCGGUAAUUC